rnacentral:misc_RNA from 2 species
AACGCACAUUGCGCCCUUCGGUAUUCCGUUGGGCAUGCCUGUUCGAGCGUCAUUUAAACCUUCAAGCUCUGCUUGGUGUUGGGCGUUUGUUCCGCCUCCGCGCGUGGACUCGCCUCAAAUCUAUUGGCAGCCGGUCAGUUGGCUUUCGCGCGCAGCACAUUGCGUAGCGGCUCCAGCUUGCCUCCUACCAUUAAGCUACUCUACAUCUUUUGACCUCGGAUCAGGUAGGGAUACCCGCUGAACUUAA